rnacentral:ncRNA from 18 species
AAAAUAAGUGCUAUCCCAAAUAGCCGACAUCUAUUUUGCUUUCCGAGUAGUGCCUCUUUUGAGGCACUUUUUUUUAUUCU